GUAGGGAAUCUUCGGCAAUGGACGAAAGUCUGACCGAGCAACGCCGCGUGAGUGAAGAAGGUUUUCGGAUCGUAAAACUCUGUUGUUAGAGAAGAACAAGGAUGAGAGUAACUGUUCAUCCCUUGACGGUAUCUAACCAGAAAGCCACGGCUAACUACGUGCCAGCAGCCGCGGUAAUACGUAGGUGGCAAGCGUUGUCCGGAUUUAUUGGGCGUAAAGCGAGCGCAGGCGGUUUCUUAAGUCUGAUGUGAAAGCCCCCGGCUCAACCGGGGAGGGUCAUUGGAAACUGGGAGACUUGAGUGCAGAAGAGGAGAGUGGAAUUCCAUGUGUAGCGGUGAAAUGCGUAGAUAUAUGGAGGAACACCAGUGGCGAAGGCGGCUCUCUGGUCUGUAACUGACGCUGAGGCUCGAAAGCGUGGGGAGCAAACAGGAUUAGAAACCCCAGUAGUCC
rnacentral:rRNA from 1 species